CCUGCAGAUGUGGAUAUUCUGAUCUGGGACUGGAGGCUGGCUGAUUAGAGGUCUGGGAGCCUUGGCAACGGGACUGGUUCUGCAGUAGCGAUCUCUCUCUCUCUCUCUCUUGCUGUGGAGGCCAGAAAUCUGGCCGAAUUUCAGUCCACAAGCCUUGCAUGCCUCAGGCUGCUGAGCCCCAGUCUGCUCCACACCCUGGAAGGUUCUCGGAGAACCACUGGUCCUCAGUCCAUGGUGGAAGUGUGGUAACAAUGGUUUUGACACUGGGGAAGGAAGGAGUCAUCAUCGUCAUCAUUAGCAGGAUGAAUCAGCUCUGGUGAGAGGAGAGGCCGGAGAGGAGGGUGAAUCCUCUUCCCACCAUGCCACUCAAAGACAAUAGGUCAGCACAGGGUCAGUGUUCAUAUGGAACUGCCCCCGCCUGUCAGCCGUCAGCAAACGUCAUGGUUACAAUACCAGAGGCCACCACCCAGGAUGCUCAUGGCCCAGCUUGCAGUCUUAUCCUAUUUAUUUCCCCCAAUAAACCUUUCUC